GAAAUGCGAUAAGUAAUGUGAAUUGCAGAAUUCAGUGAAUCAUCGAAUCUUUGAACGCACCUUGCGCUCUUUGGCCAUUCCAAGGAGCAUGCCUGUUUGAGUGUCAUUGAAUCCUCAAGGCCCCCCUUCUGCCCCUCCCUUCGAGGAGAGAGGGCCUUUGGCGGGACUUGGACUUGGGAGCGCUGCGGCGCCGGGCUUAGCCCCCGGCUCCGCUCUCCUCAAAUGCAUCAGUAGGGCCCCUCAUCCCUUCGGGUCUUUGCGGCGUUGAUAGUCGUCUACGCCUCUUGCCCGUCGGGUUCUCACCUGCUCCUCAACCCCCUUUCUUUGAACGCUUUGACCUCAAAUCAGGUAGGACUACCCGCUGAACUUAA
rnacentral:misc_RNA from 1 species